UUGUAAAUGGAGAGGACAUUACUUGGUUUGUGUGAUCUAGGUAAAUGGAGAGGAUGAAUAUGAAGUUACAAAGUAUAAAUGGAGAGGAUGUUACUUGGUGUGUGUGGUCUACUUCAAUGGAGAGGAUGAAGUGAAGUUACAAAGCUAUUCACGUUCCUGUCAUGGCUGAGGGGCUUUCACUUGAUUUAGUUCUAGGAAGUCAGCGUGCAUCGGCCUUAUGUUCCCUACCUCCAAGCCCUAUUCUCCUGCCUCAGUAGCACUGCAACCUAGAGAGCAUUUGCCUGUUUGACUGUUAAGGCUUCCAUGUUCGGGAUGUGUGGGAACUUGCCCUGGAAAAACAAAGGCCCACCUUAGGAGAAGAACACAGGCCAGAGACACCCUGCUUCUGAGCUACCCUCAACCAGCCACCUCUGGAAGCACUGGCAACUCAUCCCCAGGGGCUGUUGCCCAGCAAGUGGGUUUGGCACACCAAGUGAAAUCCACUAGAUGCUGGCUCAGCUGACCUAUCC
rnacentral:lncRNA from 1 species